ACUUUUGGCCAAUCAAAAUUGGUCUUUCGUGCCUUUCCCACCUAGAAGGUCUGGUAUUGGGUGUGAAUGGGUAUUUAUUUUUAACCAAGGAAAACCCAAAUGGGACUGUCAAUAAAUAUAAGGCUUGCCUUGUAUCAAAGGGCUUUUUUCAUCAAAAAUAUGGUUGUGAUUAUCCCAAGGCUUUUUCUCUGCAGUUAAUGAACUGCCUCUCAUUCCUGUACUGUACCACAAAUAUCUGAUCUGCCUAAUUAGAAAUUUAGAUAAUAAAAUAUCAAAUACACUUUAUCUCGCAGUUCUUAGUUUCUCUGGUUUCUUCAACUCAAUAAGGAGUCUUGGGCAGUGUGACCCAGAGAUCACAGAAUCAAGUAAAGAAAGCAGCCUAUUGCAAAUGCAAGGCAAUAUUCAAAUUGAGGACACAACAAUUUAAAAUUUAUAUAGCAGUCAACAAGUUAGAAGCCACUUUAAAU